rnacentral:rRNA from 1 species
CGUACCUUUUGCAUCAUGAUUUAGCCAGAAUCCUUUAAGCAAAGAGAACUUUAGUUUUAAACCCCGAAACUGAGUGAGCUACUCCAAGACAGCCUAAAAAUAGGGCGAACCCGUCUCUGUGGCAAAAGAGUGGGACGAGCUUCGAGUAGAGGUGACAGACCUAUCGAACUCAGUUAUAGCUGGUUGCCUGUGAAUUGGAUAGAAGUUCAGCCUCUCGGCUUCUCCCUUCACCCCAACAUGGUUUUUAACCAUACCCAAUGAUACAAGAGAAACCGCGGGAGUUAGUCAAAGGAGGAACAGCUCCUUUGAACAAAGACACAACUUUACCAGGAGGGUAAAGAUCAUAAUCUUCAAGGCAAAAUGUUUUAGUGGGCCUAAAAGCAGCCAUCCUAAUAGAAAGCGUUAAAGCUCAAACAUAUCUCACCCCCUCAUAUCCUGAUAACUCAAUCUAAACCCCCUAAUUCUACCAGGCCGCCCCAUGCAAUACAUGGGGGCGACUAUGCUAAUAUGAGUAAUAAGAGGGCCUAAAAAGCUCUCUCCCUGCACACGCG